UACGUAGGGUGCAAGCGUUGUCCGGAAUUAUUGGGCGUAAAGAGCUCGUAGGCGGUCUGUCGCGUCUGCUGUGAAAACUCGGGGCUUAACUCCGGAUCUGCGGUGGGUACGGGCAGACUAGAGUGAUGUAGGGGAGACUGGAAUUCCUGGUGUAGCGGUGAAAUGCGCAGAUAUCAGGAGGAACACCGAUGGCGAAGGCAGGUCUCUGGGCAUUAACUGACGCUGAGGAGCGAAAGCAUGGGGAGCGAACAGG
rnacentral:rRNA from 1 species